CAUGAUGUUCUUCAUGACGGCGUCGUGGAUUCGGCGUGAUUGACGGCAGUUCGUGGAUUCGGAUCGUGAGCUUCGUGGAUUCGGAGUGGAGGCGUUUCGUGGAUUCGGAACGUGGCGUUCAUGGAUUCGAACGUGAGGGCGUGGACAACCCGGAGGGUAGCGCGAAGAUUCAUAGGAGGUUAAGAGAGAUUGAGUCCGUGGAGUCGGUAAUCAGCUUGUAAUCUUUUCUCUUAGUGAAUUAUUUUUUCGCGUGUUGGUCCCGUGGGUUUUUCUCCAAGUUGGAGUUUUCCCACGUAAAUCUCGAUGUGAUUUUUAUUUUUCGCAUUUAUUUUUAUCGCAUUGAGAUUUGUGAUUUCUGGCUAUUACACCUAUUCACCCCCCUCUAGGUGUUAGAUACAAUCUAGAUAGAUCCUUGAGCUCCUCAAAACUUUCAAGUUACACUCUUUAGACGAAAGUUGCACUCUUUGGGUAAAAUUUACACAAUUUCUCUUUCUCUUCUCUUCCUUCUCCUUUCCCUCCACUUUUUCGUCCUCUUCCUCCUUUUUCCUCCUCUUCCUCCUCCUCCUCCUCCUCCUCCUCAUCCUUCCUCUUCAGCUCGCAACCGCUGUCGCCGCCAUCGUUGUACAUACCCUCGCCCCCACAGCCAUCCACAGCCGUCGCCGCCGCCGCCGAGAAGGUCCUCGAGCUUCGGGCCCCCUACUCCCGCCAUCACCAUAAGCUCCGCCACCGCCCCAUUUUCCUUCUCCUCCGCAACCCCCAUCUUCACUCCACCACCUAUUUAUAUACGUAUGCACGCACGCCUAGUAUGCGCAUAUAAAAAUUACGAGAAA
rnacentral:lncRNA from 1 species